rnacentral:lncRNA from 1 species
UUGGCUAAGGUAUUUAAAUGGACCUUCUCUUCCGCGUUGCAAGGCUUGAGGUAAUCUCUAGGGCAAUUAUCGAUAGGGCUCUCUUGGCGAUGGCGAUACGCCGGCGCCAAGGCGCUGUGGACGCGGCGCCUGCAUUCCUUGUCGCAGUCCGCCAUGGCUCUGUCGAUGCCGCCGGAUUUGAGCUCCAGCUUGCCAUGGCGCUAUCGAUGCCGCCGCAUUUGAGCUCCAGGUAAGAGAACCCGAUAUCCUUCUUUUCUUGUUUUGGUUUUCUUUCUUUUGUUGCAGCAAAUGCCAAGUGAAAGAUAAGUAUAUAAAUUGAAACGACCAGAUACAAUCGCGGUAUGUAAGUUGUCUAGAACAAACGACGCGAGCAUUCAUGGUUUUCUCCGCAGAUUUAUGCGUAAAAUCACGCUAGUACUCACAACUUCGUCCGUGCUAUUGACGAGUUGCUGAAAGAUAGAAUAGAUGCAAGAGAACACUGUUUAUAGAAGUAUAUUUUUCUAUCAACUAUUGAC